AGCACUGACUGUUCUUCCAGAGGUCC
rnacentral:piRNA from 2 species